CCUACGGGGGGCAGCAGUAGGGAAUAUUGCUCAAUGGAGGAAACCCUGAAGCAGCAACGCCGCGUGGAGGAUGACGGUUUUCGGAUUGUAAACUCCUUUUGUUAGAGAAGAUAAUGACGGUAUCUAACGAAUAAGCACCGGCUAACUCCGUGCCAGCAGCCGCGGUAAUACGGAGGGUGCAAGCGUUACUCGGAAUCACUGGGCGUAAAGAGCGCGUAGGCGGGAUAGCAAGUCAGAUGUGAAAUCCUAGGGCUUAACCAUAGAACUGCAUUUGAAACUGUUAUUCUAGAGUAUGGGAGAGGUAGGUGGAAUUCUUGGUGUAGGGGUAAAUCCGUAGAGAUCAAGAGGAAUACUCAUUGCGAAGGCGACCUGCUAGAACAUAACUGACGCUGAUGCGCGAAAGCGUGGGGAGCAAACAGGAUUAGAUACCCCGGUAGUC
rnacentral:rRNA from 1 species